GUAAUUCUAGAGCUAAUACAUGCUAAAACCCCAACUUCGGGAGGGGUGUAUUUAUUAGAUAAAAAACCAAUGCCCUUCGGGGCUCUUUGGUGAUUCAUGAUAACUUAACGGAUCGCAUGGCCUUGCGCCGGCGACGGUUCAUUCAAAUUUCUGCCCUAUCAACUUUCGAUGGUAAGGUAUUGGCUUACCAUGGUUUCAACGGGUAACGGGGAAUUAGGGUUCGAUUCCGGAGAGGGAGCCUGAGAAACGGCUACCACAUCCAAGGAAGGCAGCAGGCGCGCAAAUUACCCAAUCCCGACACGGGGAGGUAGUGACAAUAAAUACUGAUACAGGGCUCUUUUGGGUCUUGUAAUUGGAAUGAGUACAAUUUAAACCCCUUAACGAGGAACAAUUGGAGGGCAAGUCUGGUGCCAGCAGCCGCGGUAAUUCCAGCUCCAAUAGCGUAUAUUAAAGUUGUUGCAGUUAAAAAGCUCGUAGUUGAAACUUGGGCCUGGCUGUCUGGUCCGCCUCACCGCGUGUACUGGUUCGGCCGGGCCUUUCCUUCUGGAGAGCCUCAUGCCCUUCACUGGGUGUGUUGGGGAACCAGGACUUUUACUUUGAAAAAAUUAGAGUGUUCAAAGCAGGCCUUUGCUCGAAUACGUUAGCAUGGAAUAAUAGAAUAGGACGUGCGAUCCUAUUUUGUUGGUUUCUAGGACCGCCGUAAUGAUUAAUAGGGAUAGUCGGGGGCAUCAGUAUUCAAUUGUCAGAGGUGAAAUUCUUGGAUUUAUUGAAGACUAACUACUGCGAAAGCAUUUGCCAAGGAUGUUUUCAUUAAUCAG
rnacentral:rRNA from 2 species